UACGUAGGUGGCAAGCGUUGUCCGGAAUUAUUGGGCGUAAAGCGCGCGCAGGCGGUCCUUUAAGUCUGAUGUGAAAGCCCACGGCUCAACCGUGGAGGGUCAUUGGAAACUGGGGGACUUGAGUACAGAAGAGAAGAGUGGAAUUCCACGUGUAGCGGUGAAAUGCGUAGAGAUUUGGAGGAACACCAGUGGCGAAGGCGACUUUCUGGUCUGUAACUGACACUGAGGCGCGAAAGCGUGGGGAGCGAACAGG
rnacentral:rRNA from 1 species